UACGUAGGCAGCGAGCGUUGUUCGGAGUUACUGGGCGUAAAGGGUGCGUAGGCGGGUCUUUAAGUCAGGGGUGAAAUCCUGGAGCUCAACUCCAGAACUGCCUUUGAUACUGAGAGCUUGAGUCCGGGAGAGGUGAGUGGAACUGCGAGUGUAGAGGUGAAAUUCGUAGAUAUUCGCAAGAACACCAGUGGCGAAGGCGGCUCACUGGCCCGGUACUGACGCUGAGGUGCGAAAGCGUGGGGAGCAAACAGG
rnacentral:rRNA from 1 species